GACGAACGCUGGCGGCAGGCUUAACACAUGCAAGUCGAACGCCCCGCAAGGGGAGUGGCAGACGGGUGAGUAACGCGUGGGAACAUACCCUUUCCUGCGGAAUAGCUCUGGGAAACUGGAAUUAAUACCGCAUACGCCCUACGGGGGAAAGAUUUAUCGGGGAAGGAUUGGCCCGCGUUGGAUUAGCUAGUUGGUGGGGUAAAGGCCUACCAAGGCGACGAUCCAUAGCUGGUCUUAGAGGAUGAUCAGCCACAUUGGGACUGAGACACGGCCCAAACGCCUACGGGAGGCAGCAGUGGGGAAUAUUGGACAAUGGGCGCAAGCCUGAUCCAGCCAUGCCGCGUGAGUGAUGAAGGCCUUAGGGUUGUAAAGCUCUUUCACCGAUGAAGAUAAUGACGGUAGUCGGAGAAGAAGCCCCGGCUAACUUCGUGCCAGCCGCCGCGGUAACAC
rnacentral:rRNA from 1 species